rnacentral:sRNA from 1 species
CUGCGGCCGCGAUUGCAACGUAAAUCCUUUUGGCGGCACGCCAGUGCCGCCAAAAGAUUGCAGUGAAAAAGCGCGAAAUGUC